rnacentral:lncRNA from 10 species
CCUGAACUGACAGAGGCGAGGGAGAGGCGUCCACGUCCCUCUGCACCAGCUCAGCAGGGCUGGUGUCAGAGAAGGCUGAAUUGGGUACCAAGACAUUCCUUCUCUCCAGGUGGUAACAAGGACCCUCACAUGGUAUUAAUGAAGACCAAAUGAUUUGCUGCUUGUUGAACCUCUCAAAUACUGAAGGGAAGUUUCCUGGCGGUCUCUCGUCAUAUGCUGUUUACUAAAGGAAUAGUUUCCGAUCUGCUGUAAGAAGUACUAUGCUGUCCAUUUGUUCCAGGACCUUAUCCUCUGCAGGUUUAAUGCGCGUCCGUGUGAAGAGACCUGUCAAUA